CCUGGCGGCACUAGCGCGGUGGUCCCACCUGACCCCAUGCCGAACUCAGAAGUGAAACGCCGUAGCGCCGAUGGUAGUGUGGGGUCUCCCCAUGUGAGAGUAGGGAACU
rnacentral:rRNA from 2 species